rnacentral:rRNA from 1 species
CAGUCGCCGCGGGGAAUACGGAGGGGGCUAGCGUUGUUCGGAAUUACUGGGCGUAAAGCGCACGUAGGCGGCUUGGUAAGUUAGAGGUGAAAGCCCGGAGCUCAACUCCGGAAUUGCCUUUAAGACUGCCGAGCUAGCAGGUGAGAGAGGUAAGUGGAAUUCCGAGUGUAGAGGUGAAAUUCGUAGAUAUUCGGAAGAACACCAGUGGCGAAGGCGGCUUACUGGCUCAUACUGGACGCUGAGGUGCGAAAGCGUGGGGAGCAAACAGGAUUAGAUACCCCUGUAGUCCCUGUCUCUUAUA